rnacentral:rRNA from 1 species
CGCGUAGGCGGCCUUCUAAGUCGAACGUGAAAUCCCCGGGCUCAACCCGGGAACUGCGUCCGAUACUGGAAGGCUUGAAUCCGGGAGAGGGAUGCAGAAUUCCAGGUGUAGCGGUGAAAUGCGUAGAUAUCUGGAGGAAUACCGGUGGCGAAGGCGGCAUCCUGGACCGGCAUUGACGCUGAGGAGCUAAAGCCAGGGGAAGGCAAACG